GGUUCAAAAGGAUUAUAUUAUAGGAUCAUAGAAAUGGUUAGCAUUGUUUCAUCUUUUUAGAAUAUCACAUGUCCCUUUUGGGGUAAUUAGUGUUGUAUGAUGCUCCACCUUUUGCUCUAACUUGGCAUUUGGAGGAACCAAGUCUUUUAUUUAGGAUUAUAGUUUCAUUUGUUUACCAUUUCUUUUAUUCAUGUAGUGCUUGUUUUAAAUUGACCAUAGGGAUGUUUUAUUCUUACAAUGUCAUUGUUUGGUCUUGUAAACUUUACAUCAUAGUUCUCCAUAUACUAGAGUUGCUCUAUCAAAUCCAAUAUUUUCAAUGCUCUUUUGUUUGGGAGCAAUUUGAGUGUGCCAUCUCUGAAACUACUAAUGUAUUACUGCAAAAAUUAUACUAGCAUACAUGGUUGUAUUUUU
rnacentral:lncRNA from 1 species